CUACUUCCUGUUUCCUCCAUCAUGUGCAGAUUAGAGUAGUUCCUCAGCCACACCCUGGUCAGCAGCAGCACACAUAAACAGCACAGCUAAAGCUAAUGUCUGUUAACAGUUAAGUCAUCUUUUACUAGAUUGUUAGAAUAUAUACUAUAGCACAUGAUUUUUUUAUUAUUGUGUUUAAGUGUUGUCUGCUGGGUGUGGUUAGGCUUGAAAGGUCAGGUUGUUAAUUGAAUAUCUGCUUCAUGGCUUGCAUUAGGUGAGAGGGGGAAAAAAAUCUGUUAUUCUCUCAUGCAGUAAGGACAGUGUUUUACAAGAUUAUCACUAUAGUCUGUCCACACACACCUCGGUCACCUUUUACAACUCCAUCAAGCAGUAAUCUGAAUAUUUCACUUGGCUUAUCACUCUGAGAUGCUUGAAUAUGUACAAUAAAUAUACAUAUACAAAUAGUUUUUCUGUUUCCCUGCCAAAAAAAACAGUGUUUUAAGACAAAAUUAACAGCCAGAAUGGUGUGAUUCCACACUGAACAUGCAGCUAUUGAAGCUCAGAUUUCGACACAAAUUCUAGUCGCUCAAUCAUCAUAUUCAAGUCGUGCUCAGAGCAACAGGACGUGUCAAUGAUGUGUUUCUGUAAAGCUGUCUUUGCCUGUGUUUCUGACCUGUAAGAUGUUUGAUAUGUGCCUCUGUCCUUUCUCUCUGUGUACUGCUCUGUUCCUCGUGUCAGUCAAGACUGAAAGUCCAGAACAGGGAUUCUUUCCUCUAUUCUCUGGCAGCUCCACACACAACCACCAUGUCAUCUUAUAUUGUUCAAUUUGACACGACACAGCUAUGACAGAUUCUAAUGUGGGGAGGAAACUAGGGGGUCAUUUCGACUGCAAACUGCCUUAAAUAUUUGGAUUUUGCCUACAUGCUAAAAAUGUGAUUAAUCUGCACUGAGUGUCAGAAAUGGAUAGAAUAAGAAUUUCCCUGACUUCUGACUUUCUCCUUGAACUAACCACCUCUCCGCAGUGUCCACCACCUCAGCCAAUACCUGUGAAUGGACUCCCAUCAAUGGCCAGAGGUUGCCAUGUUGAUUCACUAUAACUCCUGUUAUUCAGAUCCCUGCUGCAAACACACACACACACACACACACACACACACACACACACACACACACACACACACACACACACACACACACACACACACACACACACACACACACGCAAUUACACCCUACAGAUGAUGUACACUAAGCUUUAACAACUCUGCAUUCUACAUCCAUUCAUUUAUAGAUUUUAGAGUUUAACCCUCUGAACUUUCAAUUUUAUUAAAUAGUUUAUAUAAUAUUUAGAAGAAUCUUUCUGUAAAAAUGCCAUGUGGUGUUUGGUUACAGGCGGCCAUGUUGAUUUUAGGCCUGAAAACAGCAAAAACAUCAACUAUGAUACAAAAAGUCCCACAAUUAUAUAUUGAUCCAUUUACACUUUUGAUUGAUGCUAGAGGUACGGACCCGUACCCGGGUACGGAUAUAGGGCAUAUAUGACAUAUACAUUGCCAUUGUUUCAUGCCGUGAUUUUGUUUGUAUGUAUACAGCUGUUAUAUAACUUUAACCAUGACAUAGAUCUACUGAAAUACAUCUUAUACUCUAUUAUAAACCUUUCUACACUGCGGCGAUCUCAUUCAUCUUUAUUACUUUUUAAAUAACUGGCCAAAGACAGCGGGUGUAACUAUAGUGAAUGCAGUAGAGACACAUGUAUAUAGAGCACAAGCCAGUUCAUAUCGACAUGGAAGUCCUGUUUGCCGUGAAAAUGGACACUUGAUAGGGGGCACUGGGGUAUUUCAGGCAGCGAGAAUUAAAGAAGCAAAUGGAAAGUGCCGUAUCCGUAGGCCAUAGGCUAGGCGUACGGGUCCGUAUCUGUAGACACUACGUACACUUUUUUACUUCUUUCCAUACUUGUCUAGUCUCUCCUGUGUAAGCCCUGCCAGCAGUUCAGCUGAAAACUCCUUGAUUUAUUGUCACAUGACUGUUGGUUGUAGCUGAAUCGAUUUCACUGUUGAGCCGAGAACCGCGUAAUUUUUUGUUUUCUGCAGAAUCUGUUUAUAGCUAGCGAUCUAUUUCUUUUUCCAUUUUUAAAUGAGACAUGCAGAAUAUAGUAAUUUUGCUAAAAAACAAAAAACUGUUUAAGCUUAGAUAUAGUUGAUUUUCUCUGUGGAACUGCAUGUUGCACAGUGGUGAAUAUAGUGCAAUUUUUAUCUGUUUUGCAGUUUUUGGUUCCGAUACAAGACACUUUUUAAAAAAAAAUAACCUGGUUUUCACACCCACUGGUGGAUUUUGGGGUUCAGAGGGUUAAAAUCCCACUUGAAUACACAACAACUGGCUAAAUGAACAACCACAUGCAUUUUUACUGCACGCUUUCACAUGCAGCACACACAGACCUGACGAUCAGACCACACUGUGCUGAUUCUGGUUGCUGCCCCUGUAGCCUCCCUCCCUGUAGGUGUGCUGUCCACUCGGGGCAGCUGUGAACAUGUUACAGAGAAUGACGUCCCUCCUCCUUUCUUUCCCCGUCCUCCUUCCAUCCCCUCUUGGAAGUGUAACCUCAGGAAUGUGGUGAUAUUGUGCUGAGAUGUAAUGAUGGUGGGUGACAGGCAGUCGGCGGUAAGUUUUGGUCUUCACUAGAGCUCCCCCUCUUAAAAAAAAAAAAAAAAAACCUUGUGCCUGAAGAGUCUGGGCUGUGUUGUGGCCUGACUGUGCCUCUGCUGUCCUGUGUUGUUGGGUGAAACCUCUGCCAUGGACUCAGAAAGGGGGGGGCACCAUCAUUAGACCGGCCUGUAACUCUCUCUGGGUGUGGAUGUGCCUGAUUCUUUCAGUGUGUUCCUCCUCAUCUCCCCCGUUAUUGUAUCUUUCUGUUUUUUCAUUUGAUUUGUGUUUUCCUGAUUUUCAUUAUGAGAUGCUUUUUGUAUUUUAUUACAUGUUUUGUUAUGUCAGGCGGCAGGAAAUACAAUGUUAGAGAGUUACAUAGCAGCAGCAGCAGGAUCUCUGCAAAACUCAACUAGAUAUUUGCAAAGCAGAGAAGUCUAUUUUGCUUGCACUGUAGGAAUAUGAAUCCUUAUCAAAUGAUCGAUUCUGAGGUGCGUGAGGCUGCUAGGUGUCAUACUCCAUUCAUCUUUGUUUUUCACUCAGGCUAUGAUCAUUGUUUUGUUGUGUUUUUCCCUUUGUUUUUUUAGUUUGUUUUAUUUCUGUUUGGUUUGUGCUGUCGUCAUCAUGGGAUCACAGCCCCAGAUGUCAUUGGCCUUGCCUUGCAGAGCUCUGUGAGAAGGACGUUGAGACACUGAGGCCGCUACCGCACAGCUGGCCCGGCUGGGGGGCCGGAGGCCAGGCUCCCCAAAGGGGGGCCCUCCAAGGGGUCGGGCUGAAGGUUCCGUUAGUUUGUCUGUCUUAAAUUAUAUGGGAUUUUAUGCCUCAGCCCGAGAGCGACAUGGAGAGACAAUGUUAGAGGGGCAAGGGUACAAAGGACUUUUCACAUCUCGUCAACUGCCCCAAAAUAACAGACAAACAACCCCUAUGGCCUACUGCUACUAAAAAUACUACGCACAUAAAACCUAUACUAAACAUUGACCUUCUCUCUCAGUGUAUAUACAUGUAUAAAUGCAAUAUUAUACAUGCAUAUACAUGCAUAGAUUUAUGUGUGUAUGUCAAGCAACUCUCCGCCUAUACCAGGGCCGUCUCUCUUCCUUAGUGAAUAUUCUCACUUCUAACAGUUUGGAACCUCUUUUGCUUCUCUGUUUUU